AACGAACGCUGGCGGCAUGCCUAACACAUGCAAGUCGAACGAGACCUUCGGGUCUAGUGGCGCAUGGGUGCGUAACGCGUGGGAACCUGCCCUUAGGUUCGGAAUAACUCCCCGAAAGGGGUGCUAAUACCGGAUAAUGUCUUCGGACCAAAGAUUUAUCGCCUUUGGAUGGGCCCGCGUUGGAUUAGCUAGUUGGUAGGGUAGAAGCCUACCAAGGCGACGAUCCAUAGCUGGUCUGAGAGGAUGAUCAGCCACACUGGGACUGAGACACGGCCCAGACUCCUACGGGAGGCAGCAGUGGGGAAUAUUGGACAAUGGGCGAAAGCCUGAUCCAGCAAUGCCGCGUGAGUGAUGAAGGCCUUAGGGUUGUAAAGCUCUUUUACCCGGGAUGAUAAUGACAGUACCGGGAGAAUAAGCUCCGGCUAACUCCGUG
rnacentral:rRNA from 1 species